UACGAAGGGGGCUAGCGUUGCUCGGAAUCACUGGCGUAAAGGGUGCGUAGGCGGGUCUUUAAGUCAGGGGUGAAAUCCUGGAGCUCAACUCCAGAACUGCCUUUGAUACUGAAGAUCUUGAGUUCGGGAGAGGUGAGUGGAACUGCGAGUGUAGAGGUGAAAUUCGUAGAUAUUCGCAAGAACACCAGUGGCGAAGGCGGCUCACUGGCCCGAUACUGACGCUGAGGCACGAAAGCGUGGGAGCAAACAGGG
rnacentral:rRNA from 1 species